AGUGAACGCUGGCGGUAGGCCUAACACAUGCAAGUCGAACGGCAGCACAGUAAGAGCUUGCUCUUACGGGUGGCGAGUGGCGGACGGGUGAGGAAUACAUCGGCAUCUACUUUUUCGUGGGGGAUAACGUAGGGAAACUUACGCUAAUACCGCGUACGACCUACGGGUGAAAGCAGUGGAUCUUCGGACCUUGCGCGAUUGAAUGAGCCGAUGUCGGAUUAGCUAGUUGGCGGGGUAAAGGCCCACCAAGGCGACGAUCCGUAGCUGGUCUGAGAGGAUGAUCAGCCACACUGGAACUGAGACACGGUCCAGACUCCUACGGGAGGCAGCAGUGGGGAAUAUUGGAGAAUGGGCGCAAGCCUGAUCCAGCCAUACCGCGUGGGUGAAGAAGGCCUUCGGGUUGUAAAGCCCUUUUGUUGGGAAAGAAAAGCAGCAGGUUAAUACCCCGCUGUUCUGACGGUACCCAAAGAAUAAGCACCGGCUAACUUCGUG
rnacentral:rRNA from 1 species